AUUGAACGCUGGCGGCAGGCUUAACACAUGCAAGUCGAGCGGAGUGAUGGUGCUUGCACUAUCACUUAGCGGCGGACGGGUGAGUAAUGCUUAGGAAUCUGCCUAUUAGUGGGGGACAACAUCUCGAAAGGGAUGCUAAUACCGCAUACGUCCUACGGGAGAAAGCAGGGGAUCACUUGUGACCUUGCGCUAAUAGAUGAGCCUAAGUCGGAUUAGCUAGUUGGUGGGGUAAAGGCCUACCAAGGCGACGAUCUGUAGCGGGUCUGAGAGGAUGAUCCGCCACACUGGGACUGAGACACGGCCGAGAAUCCUACGGGAGGAAGCAGUGGGGAAUAUUGGACAAUGGUGGGAACCCUGAUCCAGCCAUGCCGCGUAUGUGAAGAAGGCCUUAUGGUUGUAAAGCACUUUAAGCGAGGAGGAGGCUCUUUUGGUUAAUACCCAGAAUGAGUGGACGUUACUCGCAGAAUAAGCACCGGCUAACUCUGUGCCAGCAGCCGCCGUAACAC
rnacentral:rRNA from 1 species